CUCUCCUUGGCAACUUUUCUUUCUUUCUAUAUUUGUAGCUUCAAUCUUUUCUUUCUACUUGUGCAUGUUUUACCCCCAUAUAAAUAUAAAAACAUUUGAGACAGAGAGAGGUGUUCUUUUUUUGUAUUAGAUUUGAUUCCAAAAGGUCAUAUUCAUAUCAAUGGCCAAGAUUUCUCGUCUUCUUGGAUCCACCAUUAAAGCAGCUAUCACAACCAAGGCUGGUUUCCAUGCAAAACAUAUUCCAGCUUUUAGCAGUUUACAGGAGCAUAUAGUUAAAACAACACCGGCAAGUUACAAUAGUACACAGGCAUCUUUGGAAAAUGAUGUUUCAGGAACUGAUAAAGGGUUUAAGGGUCAUGAUAUGUUGGCACCCUUCACUGCUGGGUGGCAAAGUACUGAUGUGGAUCCUUUGAUUAUAGAGAAGUCUGAGGGAUCCUACGUCUAUGACGAUAAAGGGAGGAAGUAUCUUGAUACUCUUGCUGGUUUGUGGUGCACAGCGUUAGGGGGAAACGAGCCUCGCCUUGUUGAUGCUGCCACUAAGCAAUUGAACACAUUGCCUUUUUACCAUUCAUUUUGGAAUCGUACUACAAAACCUUCAUUGGAUCUUGCAAAGGAGCUUCUGGAUAUGUUUACUGCUAAGAAAAUGGCAAAAGCUUUUUUCACAAAUAGUGGAUCAGAAGCCAAUGAUACCCAGGUGAAACUGGUUUGGUAUUACAACAAUGCCCUUGGAAGGCCAAACAAAAAGAAAUUUAUAGCUCGAGCAAAAGCAUAUCAUGGUUCAACUCUUAUCUCUGCCAGUCUCACUGGUCUUCCUGCAUUACAUCAAAAAUUUGAUCUUCCUGCUCCAUUUGUUCUGCACACUGACUGUCCUCAUUAUUGGCGCUAUCAUCUGCCAGGUGAGACGGAGGAGGAGUUCUCAACCAGGUUGGCUAAAAAUUUGGAAGAUCUUAUCCUCAAAGAGGGGCCUGAAACAAUAGCUGCUUUCAUUGCUGAACCAGUCAUGGGGGCAGGAGGUGUCAUACCUCCUCCAGCAACCUAUUUUGAUAAGAUCCAAGCUGUAGUGAAGAAAUAUGACAUUCUUUUCAUUGCGGAUGAGGUCAUCUGUGCCUUUGGGAGGCUUGGAACAAUGUUUGGCUGUGACAAGUAUAACAUCAAACCUGAUCUUGUCUCCUUAGCGAAGGCUCUUUCUUCUGCAUAUAUGCCAAUUGGAGCUGUCCUUGUAAGCCCUGAAGUUUCUGAUGUAAUAUAUUCUCAAAGCAAUAAACUUGGUUCUUUUUCCCAUGGAUUCACUUAUUCUGGGCAUCCUGUUGCAUGCGCGGUGGCAUUGGAAGCUCUUAAAAUCUACAAGGAACGAAAUAUGGUUGAGAAAGUAAAUAAAAUAUCCCCAAAGUUUCAAGAAGGUCUGAAGGCGUUUUCUGACAGUCCCAUAGUCGGAGAGAUUAGGGGAAACGGUUUGAUCCUUGCCACUGAGUUCGCGGAUAACAAAUCUCCUAAUGAUCCUUUCCCUCCUGAAUGGGGUAUUGGUACAUAUUUUGGAGCGCAGUGUCAGAAGAAUGGUAUGUUGGUACGUGUUGCUGGUGACACCAUCAUGAUGUCUCCUCCAUUUAUAGUGACUCCAGAAGAAGUUGAUGAGGUAAGCCUCCUUAAAAUGUGAGAUUUGUAAUGUUGAAAUUAAACAAGACAGAUUACCUGCUGCAACAUGGAAAGGUGGCCUAAUGUUGAUUAGCAUCUAUGGGAAAGCAUUGAGGGAGACUGAAAAGAGGGUAGAAGAACUCAAGUCCCAGAAGUAAUACAUUGCUGACCGCAAAAGCUUGAUGAUGGCGAAAAAAACAGAUUCAAAUUCAAGCACAAUAAAAAAAAUCAAACUAUCUUGGAUAUUCUGUAUAUGUCCAGAAUGGAGUAAGAAAUAUAAUUUUUAGUCCAAGUUGCUCGUCUCUUUCUUUGAAUUGUAAUUUUACUUGCAAGUAUAGUUCCAGCAGUUGACUCAUUAAUGAAGAUGACUAUUUCCUUUA